rnacentral:rRNA from 1 species
UACAGAGGUCUCAAGCGUUGUUCGGAUUCAUUGGGCGUAAAGGGUGCGUAGGCGGCGCGGUAAGUCGGGUGUGAAAUCUCGGAGCUUAACUCCGAAACUGCAUUCGAUACUGCCGUGCUUGAGGACUGGAGAGGAGACUGGAAUUUACGGUGUAGCGGUGAAAUGCGUAGAUAUCGUAAGGAAGACCAGUGGCGAAGGCGGGUCUCUGGACAGUUCCUGACGCUGAGGCACGAAGGCCAGGGGGGGAGCAAACGGG